GUCUUGGUGGCUCAGUUGGCUAGAGCGUUGGUCUCAUAUGAAAAUGACUCAAUUCUCAGAUUGGGCUAUCCAAAGGUCGUGAGUUCGAGGUAAGUAGCCAUAGGCG